rnacentral:tRNA from 1 species
GGAGAGAUGGCCGAGCUGGACGAAGGCGCACGACUCGAAAUCGUGUAUCCGCUGUGAGGUGGAUCGGGGGUUCGAAUCCCUCUCUCUCCG